AUGAACAAUAUUUAGUCUGAGGGAACCUAGAAAAACAAAACCACUUUCACAACAUUGCUUAUGAAAUGAUCAAAAGAAAUUUGGAACUAUUACGACUUGUGUCAAAUUCCAAAUGACACACUAUCACUCUAGUGUCCCUACAAAUUGUUUAGAUCUUAACUAAAUUUUCUUACACCCUAUCUUCGGGUAUAAAAUUGAGAGAAAAGAAAGGAUCGGGUAUAAAAUUGAGAGAAAAGAAAGGAAAGUGGAGGAAAUACAAAGGAUGGAAUUGCCUUUCCUUCAUAAUCAUCUCAUUUUUUUAAAGAGAUUAACAAAAAAAAUAAAUAAAAAUAAAAAUAAAAAAUCUACUUGUCUUCCAAUUUCUUUUCCUUCUUUUCCUUCUCUUCCGCAAAUGAAAAUGGAUAACAUACUUCAUUAUCCUUCUUUUCCUUCUCUUCCUCAAAUGAAAAUGGAUAACAUACUUCAUUAUCCUUCUUUUCCUUCCUCUUAUUCAAAAAAAAACAUAGCUUUCAAUGCCUUUCCUUCCAUCUGCAACCACUACGAUUGACCCUUUGUUAGGGUAUAAAAACGCAUUUUUUUUUGCUUUCAUUUUCUAAAGUUUUUCUUGGGAGAACUAUCUCUCUGGAGGCGAAAAUCGACACUAUGAAAAAUCCCGACAAUAUGGUUGUAGAUCUCUUGGAAGCUAGCACUACAAAUGUUGUGCCCUUAAUGGAAUCACACACAAGCUAGCAAGAAGAUGACUUGAAGAAGAAGAAGGGAGGUAUGAAUUUCGAUUAUCCCAUUGGAAUGAUGAGUGACCGAAAUUCUAAGGGCUAGGGUCCUUUAUAUAAUGGUACGAGGAAACCUGGAUAACAUUAAAUAAUAAUAUUUCAAAUUGGUUUAUCCACCUUCUUAUUUAUCCACAUAGGAUAUUCUAAAAAUCCUAGAAUAUCCCCAAAAAUCGUCCAUUCCUUAAGGUGGAAGGUUCUUGAACCUUCUGCUCAACUAUUGAACAAUUACACUUUAGACCCUACAUUUUUAAUUAAUUUUAUUAAUCCCAAAAUUAAUUAUAACUAGGUGAGAAACCCCGCUCCGCGGGGUUCAGUUUUGAGCAUAGUUUUCGUUUUUUCAUAAUCGAAUCAGUCACGCGGAUAUUUGGAGAUUGACUCUUCAAAUGCUUUCAGUUUUGGGAUACUCUAGCUUAUAGUGCAACUUAGAAACCGAAAGGCCUUGUGGUUUUUUCCUGGAAAAUAGUCAUUUAAUACCCAUUAAUGUUAUAUUUUUUCCAAAAUGAAAUAAACAAAACUUGUGGUAUUAUUCCAAAAACGUAUAAGAUAAAGUGAUAAGGAAAAAAAGGUAAAAUGCAAUUAAGUAAUAAGAAAAAAAACAAAAAGUUAAUAAGAAAAAAAAGGUAAAAUGUUGCAUUUGGGUAGAGAUUUGUUAACGUAAAAUGCCUUAAUAAGGAAAAUAAAUGAAAGUAGGAUGCUAUAAUACACCAAUAAAUAAAAGUACAAUGGUAUGUAUUGCAUUUAGCCAAAAGUUGAUUUAUCAAGUUCUUUUCUAUGGUUAAUAACUUAGAAGACCAAGUGUACUUUUGUGUGGCUUAUCUGAUAGGAUUUCAAAGGACAUAAGUGGGGUUUAAUACACCUCCUGCAACAGUCAAAAAGAUUGUAAAAUUAAAAAAAAAAAUUACUAUUCUUAUAACACUAAAUAACUUCAUAUUUUCGUGACUCUAACCUGUAGUGCAGCCUUUGUGGGGAAACAGAAUGUAAUAAGAGCAGGCGUGCUGUAAAAGGCAAAUUUUGUUCUGGAUAUAUUCUUAUUCGAAUUAGGUGAAACCUAGUCCAAAUUUUGAACUGCAAUCACAAUAUUAGCAUGCAGAAAACGGAAUUUUAAGUGAUAAUCUGACCUCAACAAUCCAACAUAAGCAUGUUAAAGAAUAUCAAUCUUUUAUUCUCCCCCUGCACAAUUAAAUUGCAGCCCUAUUAAAAUAGCUAAUAAUUUACAAAUUAAGAUCUUCCAUAAUUUCUGACAGAUAAUAGAAAAACAAUAAAGCACUGCAAAACUAUUUCAAAAGGAUGUCCCUAGUAGUGAUAUAUUUAUAGUUGCAAUUACCCUUCAGUUUACUACAACAAACACAUUCGACCCACAUCAAUUACAGUUAUAUGCGCAAAUGGAUUGCAUUUAAAAAUAAAUAUUACAUACGUUCGUAGAUAAUAAGCAAAAGAUGCAAAAGACGUAGAUAAUAUUAAAAAAAAAAAAAAAAAAAAAAAAAAGAAGUGUGGAAUUGGGUAAGCUGCUGCAAUCGUUGUUUAACCUGCCCUUAAUUUGUUUUUGAUGCAAUUUAAAAAAAAAAAAAAUUAAAACAAUCACUCUCGCAAUAAGAAAGUUGAUAUUUGUCAGCCACAAGUUCAACUACAACGUGAAAUUCAACAUUGCAUUUCGGUUUUUAGAAAUCUGGAAUGGAACUGUUGGUGAAAGAAAGUAGAAGAAAAAAUAGCUGAAUCUUGAUUGUAACUAAAUUUUCUUAAUUUGUUUAAUAGCAACCUACUUUUUUGCUCAGUGAUUGGAUGCCUAAUAGGGACACACAAAGAAUUAGGUUUUACUGCGGAUUAUGGCUUGGAGAGGUUUGUGUUGUGUUAAUUGUAUGUGGUUGUAUGAUAUUAAUAUGCAAUGCAUCUUCAUGAAAAGCUUUGUAGCAUAGCCUCUGAAAACUCUUUUGAAGACCUGCCAUCCAAAAAUCACAUAUUUUUCAAUUACUAUAAUAAACAACGCAAUUUAAAUUUCAAAAAUAAAAAAAAACUUUAAUAUGCCUAAAAACAAAAGAGUAAUAUUAAUAUCAGGUCUUCAAAAGCAGUUGACCUUUUUGCAAAAUGAACAAAUCUAAACUUCUGUUUGCCAACUGCCAUUGAAAUAAUGCCCUGAGAUGCUCUAUUGAUGUGUUCUCUGGAAUAUUGUUCAUAUAAAAUGCCCUCACCGAUGAAAAAAAAUGUUGUUAUUUUCACAUUUUAAUGCAUUAAAUUUUACAUGGAACAAACAAAAGUUGACAAUAAUAAAUGUGUAUGUUUCUAAAAACCAAUUCAACAAUGUUGGGUUCAGGUGAAAAGUAAAAAAUCUUAACAUGUCAAAAGUCAGAAUGGACGGAUAUCACUUUGCCAUAUAGAACUUAACAAUAAGAAAAAAAUGGCAUAAUAGAUGUGUAUAACUGUUUAAUCUUUAUUCAUUAAAGUUUACCUGAACAAAACAAAAUGAUAACGUGUUAAAUAGCAUGGUCAUACUAAAAUGAUAAGGUGUUAAAUAGCAUGGUCAUACUACACUUAAUCCAGAAAACUAUAGAUGAGAAUGAAAUCAUAUCAACAGUGUAAAUUUUAUUUUUAUGCAGUUUUAAAAGUAGUUGUUAUUGACUGAAGCUAGUGCAAUGGAUGAUAGAAUAUAACUAAUCUUACCGGUUCUUUGAAGCAUUUCAUCAAACAGUUGAUGUGCAUCCUCAAAUCUGCAAAGUUUGAAUAACAAAAACAAUCCAAUCCUUCUUUAAGUAAGUACCUUUUUAAGUCACCAACAUCUGAAAACAGCUGAACGAAAUAUAUAGGAAUAUAGGAUGCUAAACACUUGACAAAUCUAUUGAAGAACAUACAGAAAAGGAAAUCAAAUGUAUUUUUUUACACACUAUUCAGAUUUCUGAACAGAAGAAUUAACCAUAGCCACAAUUCCACUUCAGAACUCUCUCCUAUGAUUUUCGUAAAAAAAUGGAACACAAAUUAGAAAACCCAACAAUUUCCUAUGAGCGCUGAGAAAGAAAAGACUUAGUUCGAUCCAAAUCUUGAAAUCAUCCAGAAAUUAGGCGAGGAUACCUGUUGAUUAUUUCAAUGUCGAAAGUAGUCAGGAAAUUGAGGAACAAUGAUGUUUUGUUUCAUCCUCUCAAUUUCUUACGACUCAUCUUGAAGGGUCGCCACAGCAGCCUUUCAACCGGUAAGGAAAGUUCAACCGAACAUCACCUCCAGCCACUGCGAUCAGCAGCCAACGUCGUCGCACCACCACCAGCAUAGUGUUGAUAUGUGCUGCUGGUUGUUGUUGGUUCCUUGUCAAAAUUGGCUUUAUAGGUCGUUCUUUUCCGGUAAGAAGCAGUGAAAUAGGAUAAUGGCGGUGGGAGAGAGAAUAACGGUGAGAGAGAGCCCAUAUGGGCGUCCGUCCGCUUUCUUUGCCAUCGUGUUCAGCCAUAUUUGUGUACAUCUAAAAACUGAAACUGAAGAAGAAUCUAUAAUAGCAACUUAUCUGAUUAGAGGGGUAGGGCACCAAUCGAUAACUUCAUCAGUAAUUACAAAUAAUCGUUCAUUGGUUGUCUCCUGCUUAAUCAAAGACCACUGGAUACACAAUAAAUAAGGGAGGGUUGUUACAGGUCGUGGAUGAGAGUCGAGAAGCCACAACUGCACGACAAAGGCCUUGGCGAUUUCUUCGUUUUCCUCUCUGAUCUGUUUUUGCUCCACCGAUUACGAAUGGAAUGGUAAGAAGCGGCGGAGCCGACCGUGGGGAAGGAUCCGGAGGCAGUGACCAAAGUAGAGUUACGGUAACCCGAUGAAGAACAGGUAGUAAAGGGCAUCGUUGGAAGCGGGAUCCUUUGGAAAAAUGGUAGAAGAAGUCGAAAGAGAGAGACGAUAAAGGAUUCAAUCGAGAGGCAAACAGGUGGAGAUAGAAGCAGAGGCGGUGGUGGUGUUCUCGAAGAGGCGGAGAAGAACACGUAGCAGAAGAGCCAUGAAUCACGUCCAAAAUUGAUGA